UUGGGUGGUCCUGCAUGGUGUGGCUCAUAGCUACAUUGAGUUAUGCAAGCCGCUUUGCCACAACAAGGCUCUGAUCCGUGAAGGGGAUAGAGCAUAAUAACACUUACAAAAUGACCAAUGAUAUUUUUGCUCACUAAGUUUCCAGGUGGUAAUGGUCCUGGGCCUGCUUCUUUCUGGUUUGGCUACACUGGGCAGAAAGGUAAAGCCCUGCGGAAGGUGGCAGGGGGCCAGAGAGGGAAAGGGAAGGCCCCACAUGGAACUGCAAGACCUAGGCGAAAUACCAUAAGGAGUUGCCACUUCUACUCCAGGGGAUCUUCCAGACUCAGGAAUGGAACCCACAUCUUUUGUGUCUCCUGUAAUGACAGCCGGAUUCUUUACCGCUACCGCAACAUGGGAAGUAAGAGAACGACUUACUCCAAAGCCGUUCGGUGGGGCUGAGGGAAACAGGAGAGCACGCAUGGGGCUGGGAGAGCCUCAGCAGCCUGGCGCAGGAUGCUCCAGCCGGAGUGAAGUAAGAAGACCUUCCAGCAGCGGGGCAUGAGGUGGUGGUGAAGACAGUGGUGGCACUGGUCAGGAAUAGGGCGUCAGAAUCGAGGGGGUAAGUAAGCAAGGCAUCUGCAUGGCAGGGUAGUUCCAGGCAGCAUGCAGCCUGGAGGGGAUGAGGCAGGCAUCUGCCAACGCAGACGGGUACGGAGCGUCAGAGCCUGUAAGGGAAGAGGGGCGCUUCCAUGCAGCGGGUGACAGUGGUGGCUUUGUGUGUGGUGGUGGAGACUCAGAGGAGGGUAUCUCUGCAGGAAGGUGAUGGAAGCAGGUCAGCACAUGGUGCUGAAGCUCAGGUGAGGUGAGGAUGGUGACCAUACAAGGGACAGGGGUGGUAGACUGGUAAAAAUGUCAAAGCCUGAGUAGGAUAAAGGGUGCCUGUCGGGGUGGUGGGUGGAGGGGCAGUAGCACUGACAGAGACUGGUCACACGCAGAGGUCCUGAUUAAAGAAGUGGUUAAAUGAUGAGCUAGGUGUUUUCACUGUCAAUACUGUCAAAGAAAGGACUGACUAACAUAUAUAGGGAGAAAGCUGGAAUAAACUAGGAGGUGGUUUCAAUGUAUUUAGAUAGACAUAGGAAUAAGUAGAAUAGAUAGACAUAGAAAGUAUGGACAUACAUUUACAUGUUCCCUAUCUCUGUCUUCUGGGAGGGCCUGGGAAUACUAAUACCCCAAUGAGCACUUGUCAUGACCAGAUCUUGGUUUCUUAAUACCAUUCUCCAGUAAAAGUUGAUUUCAGGUUGAGUUGGACAAUGACAAAGUGAACCUACUGCAUCUUGAAAUGCCAGAAAGUAAGAAAGUGCUCAAAAAAUGAUGGGAGACAAGUCAAAGGAAACAGAGACCAGCUUAACGGGGCUCCUAAUGGCCAAAUUUUGGAAAAUUUGAGCAUUGAAAUAAGUAAUAAUAAUAAUAAAUUUUAACCCACUGAAAAAAACAAAAAUUUAUGAGUCCUUACAUAUAUGAAUGGUUAAAUGAAUAAAUUAUUAGAUGUGAUAUGGAAUAUUUUCAUAGUUUAAAGUACUUCACCACAAAACAUUCAUUAUUUAUCAAGCAAACAGUGAAACUUUACAGUAGAGAAGCCUGGCAGACACCACCUCAAUAAAAUGAUUAAACUUAACAUCACCAAUUGUAGAUAAAACUAAAAUCACAUGCUAUCUGAUAGGAUGCAAAAUGAACAAAAUAUCACUUCUGUGGUUUCUACCAAAAGUGCAUAACCUGAAUCUAUCCAUGAGUAAAUGUAAAACAAACGUUGAGGGACUUUCUUCAAAAGAAUUGGUCAAUAAUUUUCAAAAGUAUCAAGAUUAUGAAAAUCAAGGAAAUCUGAGGAAACUUCCCAGCUUGAAGAAGACAUGACAACUUAAUGCAACGCACAAUUCUGGCUUGGACUGACUGACUGAUGACUGGUUGAUUGAUACAAUUGUGACCUGGAUUUUAUUUAUUUAUUUGCUUGCGAUAAAAAAAAGACAUUAUUGGGACAAUCAAUGAAACCUGAAUUGGAUCUGAGAAUUAGAAUAAUAUAGCACUCUUAAGUUCAUGAUGUUGAUGGUUAUAUUAUAGAAUGUUGUAUAAUGGAGAAUACAUAAUAAGAUAUUUGGCAGUAACAGAGGCAUCAAUAAUUAAGUUAGGAACUUGCUCUACAAUUGUUUGGAAAAACAGGUUUCAAAACUUAUUUACUGAGACUAUUUAAACAUAUAUUUCUUUAAGUAACCCAGGCUCUCACCCAUGCCUCUCAGCCAUUCAGUUUUCCUCCCCAGAAGCAACACUGGAUUUUAUUAUGUAUCCUUCCAGAGAGACAGUUGAGGCAUUUAAAAGCUUCUUCUCCUUCCCUUCCUUCUUUUCCUUUUUAUGUAAAUGAUAUGGUUCCUCACAAACUAAUCUGCUCCUUGCUUUUCACUUAUUCUCAGCACUCCACAGAGCUGCUUCACUCGUUUAGGUAUGUGAAUGUACCAUAAUUUAUUCAAGCAAGCUGCACUGGUGAGUACUGCGGUUGUCUAUUAUAACUCUUUUUUUUUUCCCAUUUAUUUUUAUUAGUUGGAGGCUAAUUACUUUACAUCAUUGCAGUGG